GCCGGUGUGAUGGAAUUGGCAGACGUGCUGGACUCAAAAUCCUGUGGUAGAAAUACCGUGCGGGUUCGACCCCCGCCACCGGCACCA
rnacentral:tRNA from 1 species